AUGGGCCUGUCCUCGCAAGGCAGCCCGGGGAAGAAGCGCUGCCAGACCGUCCCGGGGAGACAGCGGGAGCGUCAGGCCCCGAGAACACGGAGCUGGCCUUGCGCAGCUGGCUGCCGACGGUCACAGAGUGGCCACCAGGUCAGAACAUCCUCCCCGGGCCAGCUCCUCUUCAGACACCAUGAGUUCUCCUCUGUAACUUGGCACGAUGAUUCGGUGACUAAUGUCAUUGCCAGCAGAGUGAUCGAAUGAGGGGAGAUGUGAUUUCCAUCACGUUACACCAUUUAUUUAGAGAAAUG
rnacentral:lncRNA from 1 species